GACCGCCUGGGGAGUACGGCCGCAAGGUUAAAACUCAAAUGAAUUGACGGGGGCCCGCACAAGCGGUGGAGCAUGUGGUUUAAUUCGAUGCAACGCGAAGAACCUUACCUGGUCUUGACAUCCACGGAAGUUUUCAGAGAUGAGAAUGUGCCUUCGGGAACCGUGAGACAGGUGCUGCAUGGCUGUCGUCAGCUCGUGUUGUGAAAUGUUGGGUUAAGUCCCGCAACGAGCGCAACCCUUANCCUUUGUUGCCAGCGGUCCGGCCGGGAACUCAAAGGAGACUGCCAGUGAUAAACUGGAGGAAGGUGGGGAUGACGUCAAGUCAUCAUGGCCCUUACGACCAGGGCUACACACGUGCUACAAUGGCGCAUACAAAGAGAAGCGACCUCGCGAGAGCAAGCGGACCUCAUAAAGUGCGUCGUAGUCCGGAUUGGAGUCUGCAACUCGACUCCAUGAAGUCGGAAUCGCUAGUAAUCGUGGAUCAGAAUGCCACGGUGAAUACGUUCCCGGGCCUUGUACAC
rnacentral:rRNA from 1 species